UACGUAGGAUGCAAGCGUUGUCCGGAAUUAUUGGGCGUAAAGAGCGCGCAGGCGGUAUGACAAGUCAGAUGUGAAAGAGGCCGGCUUAACCGGCAAGGGUCAUUUGAAACUGUCAGACUAGAGUGCAGCAGAGGAUAGUGGAAUUCCCCGGUGUAGUGGUGAAAUGCGUAGAUAUCGGGGAGGAACACCAGUGGCGAAAGGCGACUAUCUGGGCUGCAACUGACGCUGAGGCGCGAAGGCUAGGGGUAGCAAACGG
rnacentral:rRNA from 1 species